UACGUAGGGUGCAAGCGUUAAUCGGAAUUACUGGGCGUAAAGCGUGCGCAGGCGGUUUUGUAAGUCAGAUGUGAAAGCCCCGGGCUUAACCUGGGAAUGGCCGUCGAAACUGGCGAACUGGAGUGUGGCAGAGGGGGGUGGAAUUCCGCGUGUAGCAGUGAAAUGCGUAGAGAUGCGGAGGAACACCGAUGGCGAAGGCAGCCCCCUGGGCUGACACUGACGCUCAGGCACGAAAGCGUGGGGAGCAAACAGG
rnacentral:rRNA from 1 species